CAUUAGUAAAUUUAACCAUUUCACCUCCCCACGGAGGUGCAAAAGGUACCACACCUUGUGCACUCACAUCUGUCUCUGGCAUUUCGAGUGUGUUGCUCCCCAAGUUUCCUCCUCCUUCCCCCCAGUGUUGUGUCGGGGCGGAAUAGGGGUGGAAAACUUCUGGGAUCUCACACGAGGGUGCCGAAUGUGUUUGAAGUUUUUAAACUUUAUUUUGCUGUCCAUUUACAAGUCUGACCUUCUGUUUCUCCCACACCUGUGAGAGGAAUGCUAAAAAAAUUUUGUAAAUACAACUUUUGACAACGGAUCUCUUGGCUCUCGCAACGAUGAAGAACGCAGCGAAUUGCGAUAAGUAAUGUGAAUUGCAGAAUUCAGUGAAUCAUCGAAUCUUUGAACGCACAUUGCGCUCUUCGGCUUUCCGGAGAGCAUGCCUGUUUGAGAAUCGAUUGAAUCGUCAUACCCUCCAACUUCACUGUUGAGGGAAUGGAUUUGGGUGAGCAAGGGGAUCUCUGGUUCCGCCAGAGCUCGCCAGCGCGUUUGCCUGUCUGGGCAAUCACCUGCAAUGGAAAUGUUUGGGAACACACAUGGCGUGUAGUCUCCUCAAAUGCAUGAAUAAAGGAGUUCCUUUUCCAUACGUUUGAAGUGGGAAACCUGCAAUCCAUUGAGUGUUGUUUGAAGCUGGGCGUCAUGUCUGGCAUCAACCUAAACUGUCGGUGAGGAUGAGUCUUGAAGAUUCUCCAACCCCGACCACAGGGACUCCAGGGUCUCGAACACUUGGUCUCAAAUCAGGUAGGAAAACCCGCUGAACUUAA
rnacentral:rRNA from 1 species